AUUGAACGCUGGCGGCAUGCCUUACACAUGCAAGUCGAACGGUAACAGGUUAAGCUGACGAGUGGCGAACGGGUGAGUAAUGUAUCGGAACGUGCCCAGUCGUGGGGGAUAACUGCUCGAAAGAGCAGCUAAUACCGCAUACGACCUGAGGGUGAAAGCGGGGGAUCGCAAGACCUCGCGCGAUUGGAGCGGCCGAUAUCAGAUUAGGUAGUUGGUGAGGUAAAGGCUCACCAAGCCGACGAUCUGUAGCUGGUCUGAGAGGACGACCAGCCACACUGGGACUGAGACACGGCCCAGACUCCUACGGGAGGCAGCAGUGGGGAAUUUUGGACAAGGGGCGCAAGCCUGAUCCAGCCAUGCCGCGUGCGGGAAGAAGGCUUUCGGGUUGUAAACCGCUUUUGUCAGGGAAGAAAAGGUUCUGGCUAAUACCUGGGACUCAUGACGGUACCUGAAGAAUAAGCACCGGCUAACUACGUG
rnacentral:rRNA from 1 species